rnacentral:lncRNA from 1 species
UCACGAGUAUUAUGGUUUUUGAAUGAAAAAGCUUGGCUCUGCUUUUGAGUUUUGAUUAAAUUGAUGUAAUUAAAAUUAUUAAGAAAAAUCCCGAUAGAAUCUUUCAUGCAUUGAUGCUGUCGUGGUUGAAUCUUGAAUACUUUAUCCACUUUGAUUUAUCCUUUGCCCUGCAUAUUGGCCAUCGAGUAAGAGAGUAUGGGCAAAACACUUUUUGAGGUUAUUAAGGCCGAUCAGGUCAAUUGAUUUGAUUCAUAUUUGAAAUUUAUUUAAUGAUUUUGAGAUUGAGAUGCAGUUUGGAUGUAUUUUUUGUAAGCAAUUUGAUUAGAACAUGAUACAUGGUUUAUCUCAUCUGUAUCACUGUAUGGGUGAAAACUGGAAAAUAAGUGGUGAGUGGUGAGUGGUGAGUGGUGAGGACUUUUUGAUAUUAGAGUAUUUAACCCUAUCAUAAUAGUACCAUCCACUCAUUCAGAGUCGGGAAUUAAAAUUUAAAAGGUUCAGGGUAUAUCAUAGCCCCUGGAGGCUGAAGCUGGAUGGGUCUUAGAACCAGCCAUCUCAGUCUGUCUCGCCUGAGGAAAAUAAGGAAUGAACCAAAUACCUUUUCACUGUGGUAUUUUGCAUUUCCUAUAUUUGCUGUCAAUAUUGUUUGCUGCUGGGAAGUUUAGAUAUUUCCAUUUGUUUCAAUAUUAAGAGAGGACUGAUUUAGGUGUAUCUUCGUUCAAGAUGAUCUACAAAAAGACAAAAAAAAAAAAUGAUAAUGAUUGUAAAUCUUUUUUUUAAUAUCUCCUUUAUUAAGAGUUUGAUAAAUGAUAAUGAAUAGGAAGUCAUAUUAAAUAGAUGGUGUUAAAGGUUAUGACCACAUGCACGGUCCCCAAGAACAUCAUAUCAGACAAGACAAGAACAGUUAACGUGACAUGUCUGUCACUAAAAUAGAAUCCAAUGUUUGCUAAAAUACACAACCAUACAGUCUUACACAUACAAACACAUGAUCGAUCAACAAUCCAAGUUUGAACUCCACCCCACCCUACUCAACAAGUUCCACUGUUUAUCUAUCUCUAGUCUCUACCUAUAUUUUUUAUUUAAGACCCAUCAUAUAUUAAAGAGGUAAAAUAGUUUUUACAGUAAAAUAAAUAAGUGACAUAAAAUUAAAUUUUACUCCAGAUGUUCCAGCAUGGGUUGUUGUGAUUUUGGAACUUGAGGUGAAUGGUCUGGAUUUUGAUUUUAGCACCUCCACAUCUGAUAGAGUAGGAUUCCAAACUGCGCCCAGAUUAUGCCACCUUGAUUUGCUAGAGUCACUGCAAAAUUUGAAACAAAUAUAAACCGUUGUUGGAAAAAAUUCUCGUUUUCUCUUGAUUUAUAAGCUUAAUUUUUGUUUCCAGUAAUUCCACAAUAGAUAUGUUUGUGCUUAAAGCUGAGAGCCACUAUCUCCUUUUUCCUCUUUCCCCUAUUCAUCCCUCUCACAUUCCAUACCAGUAGGAUCAUGUCGAGGGUAGGCGCAACUCCUGAUAGUGGAUUUUGAUCACUCCUGAGCAGCUACAGCUUUCUUAUCAGUUGCAAUUGCCUUGGACUUCUUUUUCUUCUUCGCUAUUUGGAGGACCCGUGAGAAGUUCAGAGAAUUAUGUUGCCUCUGCCUGUUGGUCGUGAGCCAAUGAGCCAUCUGAAAAGAAUAAGGCCGAGAGAUGAAAUUGUUCGGGGAGAAGAGAAAGAGAGGAAGAUGGACAGACACUCACCCGGAGGAUGAGGGUGUCCCAAGGACCGCCGGCAUACCUCCAUUUUUUCCCAUCUUCUUCUUCCUGCUUUACAACUACCAUAUGAAAGAAGAAAAAUUACCUGGUGGGUAGAUCUGUGUGAAUCUUGCUUGGAAAUUGGAAUGGUGAAUGAUGAUGGAGUGUGAAGUAAUUGGAUGAAUCGCCGAUAUAUAUUAAGAACCAACCUCUGCUAUCUAUCGAAAGGCGUAAAAACGACUCUCUUGUUUGGAAGAACGUCAUGAAACAAAGCCGCAUCAAGUAGAAUUAAUGAACUACUUUAAACUCAAUUUUAAUUAGAUAUCUAUAUUGAUUGAUACAUCAUUCAUAAAAUAUCUUAUAAUUUUUUAAGGGAACAACGAAUCAUAUCUUGGAAAAAACAUAUGGUCGAAACCAUUUUAAUUAAUCAAAAUUGCCUUAACAAAAAAAGAACUUUAAUGAUUAUGAUAAACUUUGUUUGGGCCUUAGCCCCUCUCCUCUCUUUUUAAGAA